GAUGAACGCUAGCUACAGGCUUAACACAUGCAAGUCGAGGGGUAACGAGAGGAAAGCUUGCUUUCCUUGUCGACGACCGGCGCACGGGUGAGUAACGCGUAUCCAACCUGCCCCCAACUAGGGAAUAACCUUGCGAAAGUAAGACUAAUACCCUAUAAUUUCCUCAGAUGUCAUCUGACGAGGAAUAAAGAUUUAUCGGCUGUGGAUGGGGAUGCGUCGGAUUAGCUUGUUGGCGGGGUAACGGCCCACCAAGGCAACGAUCAGUAGGGGUUCUGAGAGGAAGGUCCCCCACAUUGGAACUGAGACACGGUCCAAACUCCUACGGGAGGCAGCAGUGAGGAAUAUUGGUCAAUGGGCGGAAGCCUGAACCAGCCAAGUAGCGUGAAGGAUGACGGCCCUAUGGGUUGUAAACUGCUUUUAUACAGGAAUAAAGUUAGCCACGUGUGGUUAUUUGUAGGUACUGUAUGAAUAAGGACCGGCUAAUUCCGUGCCAGCCGCCGCUGUAA
rnacentral:rRNA from 1 species